UACGAAGGUCCCAAGCGUUAUCCGGAUUUAUUGGGUUUAAAGGGUGCGUAGGCGGACUAUUAAGUCAGUGGUGAGAGCCCCAAGCUUAACUUGGGAACUGCCAUUGAUACUGAUGGUCUUGAGUACAUUUGAGGUGGGCGGAAUGUGUCAUGUAGCGGUGAAAUGCUUAGAUAUGACACAGAACACCGAUUGCGAAGGCAGCUCACUAAACUGUAACUGACGCUGAGGCACGAAAGCGUGGGGAGCAAACAGG
rnacentral:rRNA from 1 species